rnacentral:tRNA from 1 species
GGGGAAUUAGCUCAGCUGGGAGAGCGCCUGCUUUGCACGCAGGAGGUCAAACUAAAAAAUAUUUCGGAUAAUCUUCA